rnacentral:miRNA from 19 species
UAGUAGACCGUAUAGCGUACG